UCUUUAAAGGGAAGGCAGGAGGCGGACAGCUUGGCUGUGACCCUUUAGCGCUGGGUCGCGUGUGGCCCACCCUCGGCCUGAGGCAUUGUUGGGUGGUUGGAGGUGGUUGUAGUAUUUGGAAAAGAACUUGUCCCUGAAGGGCUCAGGGGACUUGGUUUCUCAGCUCCUAAUAUGGAAAAUUAAGGCAUUUCUUACGAGAUGCAGAUUUUAAAGCAGGCAUAUCUACUCGACGGCUUUGGAUUACUGCACUGCACAAAUUCCAGUCUCUGUCGGUUUUGGCUGAGAAGAGCUGUGCUUCUCACCAGCUACUGGUGAGACAUUCGCCCUACAGGAAAGGGUAGCUGAAGCAGAGAGAGAAGGCAGCAUACGUCAGCAUUUUCUUCUCUGCACUUACAAGAAAGAUCAAAGACUUUAAGACUUUCACUGUUUCUUCUACCGCUAUCUACUACGAGCUUCAAAGAGGAACCAGGAGUAUGGGAGGAGCAUGAAAGUGGACAAGGAACGUGACCAUUGAAGCACAGCACCACAGGGAGGGAUUUAGGCCCCAGGACUGCAGGCAGGCCUGGAUAAUAUCCAGCCUUCCACAAGAAGCUGGUGGAGCAGUGUUCCCUGACUCCUCCAAGGAAAGGAGACUCCCUUUCACGGUCUGCUAAGUAACGGGUGCCUUCCCAGACACUGGCGUUACCGCUUGACCAAGGAGCCCUCAAGCGGCCCUUACGCGGGCGUGACCGAAGGCUCACCUCUUGUCUUCUAGGUCACUUCUCACAAUGUCCCUUCAGCACCUGACCCUAUACCCGCUGGUUAUUCCUAGGUUAUAUUAGUAAUGCAACAAAGAGUAAUAUUAAAAGCUAAUGAUUAAUCAUGUUUAUAAUAAUGAUUGAUAAUUGUCCAUGAUCAUCUCUAUAUCUAAUUUGUAUUAUGACUAUUCUUAUUCUAACUAUUUUCUUUAUUAUACUGAAACAGUUUGUGCCUUCAGUCUCUUGCCUCGGCACCUAGGUAAUCCUCCACCCACAUCCUACUCUUGGACAACAGGAAAAUUAGAAAAGAUAAUGGAGAGCUUUUUCAGAAUGUUGAAUUUAGGAGUUGUGUGUGCUUUUGAUCUCCAUGUCAAUCCAUAAACAAUAAAUCCUGUUCUUAAAUUUGA
rnacentral:lncRNA from 1 species